CCCCCCCCCAAAAAAAAAAUUUAUUUUUUUUUUUGCAUUUUUGAAAGAUAAUGUAAUAAAUGACCACAUCCCCACACUAUACACCCCUCUCCACUCCACCCCUCCCUCCUUUGUGAUAGAAAUUGAGAUAGGUCCCUACACCUUUAAAAAGAAAAAUAGAUGAGCGGUCUGCACCCGCAAGGUGGGUGGUGCUCUUGUAAAUAUUUAUCCCCACGAUUUUUGAAAAGCGUGGAUAUAUUGUGGUUAUCUCCGCCGUCCGUCUGUCUGUUAUUCUGUCCGUCCUGGUCACCUACACUAUAAGCACUAGAACCUUGAAACUUACACACAUGGUAGCUAUGAGCAAUCUCAACUAUGCAUGGCCCUAUUACCAACCCUGGGGCACCCGGCCCACAUAGACCACACCCACCCAAAAUUGCCUUUUACUAUAAUUUCUUCAUUUCUACACAGAUUCACUUCAAAUUGAUACUGAAAUUCUCUAAUGACAAUACGGUCAAUCUCAACUAUGCAUGACAAUGCGGUCAAUCUCAACUAUGCAUGGCCCCAUUACCAGCCCUGAGGCGCCCCACCCACAUAGGCCACACCCACCCAAAAUUGCCUUUUACUAUAACUUCUUCAUUUCAACACCGAUUCACUUCUAAUUGUUACUGAACUCUUAUGACAAUACGGUCAAUCUCAACUAUGCAUGGCCCCAUUACCAACCCUGGGGCGCCCCUGGGUCAAACAUGUGGCUUGGGGAUAAGGGUAUCACGUUUACAGAUUUUUCUAAACGUUUAAACGAAAUUAAAUAAACGAAACGUUACCGUUUAAACGGUAUCCCUAUGUCCGUUUUAAAAGCAUCAGUGCCAUCGCAUCUCCGGCUAGAUUGAACUUUACCGGUACGCAGUUGUUUACCACCAUCGACAAAGUGGGGGUUUGGGGGCGGUAGCCCCUGAUACUAAAGAAAUAUUUAGGAUAAAAGGAUAAUAAGGUGUUGCGUUAGUUGUUAGGUGUUAAGGGUUAGGGUUAGGGUACGCUGUUUGAUGUUAAGUGUUGCGUACCGGUAGUUCAAUCGUCCCGCAUCUCCAAACUGAAAGUAGCAAUUAUUUCCGGAAGUCAUAUUUAGUGCAUAUCCCAUUUGCGCAAUGACGUCAUAUUAAAACCAACUGUUCUCGUCGUUGUCGAACCAUUGGGUUACACUUUGUCUACUUACAUGCCGUAAUAUUUUGUAACAAAGACGAAUUAAUAUCGAACCAACAUUCCUUAAAUAAGAGUAAACCGGUUUUAAAAUUGUCAAUGUUUUACUUAACACGAUGUAGAUCAAAAGAUGCAUACUUCAAUUUAGGUAAAAAUAUUCCUAGACGGAGAUUGUUCGCCAUAUCUCUUGAAAUGAAUGCCGAUGAAGAAAUGUCGGAAAAAUUUCCUCGUACACUUCGUGCCGACGCACGUUGAAUGGUCAAGAUGAUUCGGGUCAUGCUCAUGCAACAAAAGGCGGGAAUUUUGUGAUGACGCGCUAUAAAUAUUCAAGACAUCCAGUCCGUACAUGGUGUAUUGUUAUGUUUACGGUAUUGUGAAUAAGGGGCAUGUGGUGCACGUGAUACAAAUAGUUUUUAAUACGAGUCUUUUUCAGCAGCUGUUAAAAAGCUUUGCAAGGUUGUAACGUAAUGAACUAAACUGAUUUAUAUUUAAAUUGACUGUCGUUUAAACGUUUACAGUUUUUGUAAACGUUUUUUACCAAAACACGAAACGCGACCGAUUAAACGUGAUACCCUUACUUGGGGAUACGCUUCGGCCUCUGCUGUGCCAUUUCUAGUUUAGCUUUAUUUUACAAAAUAUUUUACAUAAAUUUCGUUGAUUUUGAGUACUAAUGUUACUUAAAGUUUUGUGUUUAGGUCCACUUUAUUACUAAAGUAUCAAAGCUAUUGCUUUCAUACUUGCAACACUUACUAUCAUAAGUGGACUGUGCAGGCAAAGUAAUGUAAGUCUGACUGGCAUUUUGACAGAAUUAUGGCCCCUUUUAUUCUUAGAAAAUUGAACAUUUGGUUAAGUUUUGGUCCAUUUUACUUCUUAAGUAUCAUAGCUAUUGCUUUCAGACUUGGACGACUCGCUAACUAUCAUAAGGGAUUAUACAGGACAAGUUGCAUAACUGGUUGGCAUUUUGACAGAAUUGUGGCCCUUUUUUGACUUAGUAACUUUUAAUAUUUUGUUAAAUUUUGUGUUAAGAUGCACUUAACUUCUAAAGUAUCAAGGCUAUUGCUUUCAAACUUCGAAUACUUUCUUGCUAUCAUGAGAGUAAUGUAACUGCAAGUUGAAUUUGAUCUUGACCUUUGAAUGACCUUAAAUCUCAAGGUCAAAUAAAUUAAUUUUGCUUAAAUUGCCAUAACUUCUUUAUUUUGGAUCAGAUUUCAAAAAAAAAAAGAUAAUGAUAAUAAUUUUUUGUUCUUAUUUUUAUGCCCCCCUUCGUCGAAGAGGGGGUAUAUUGUUUUGCACAUGUCGGUCCGUAUGUCCGUCCUUCCACCAGAUGGUUUCCGAAUGAUAACUCAAGAACGCUUAGGCCUAGGAUCAUGAAACUUCAUAGGUACAUUGAUCAUGACUGGCAGAUGACCCCUAUUGAUUUUCAGGUCACUAGGUCAAAGGUCAAGGUCACGGUGACCCGAAAUAGUAAAAUGGUGUCCGGAUGAUAACUUGAGAACGCUUAUGCCUAGGAUCAUGAAACUUCUUAGGUAUAUUGAUCAUGACUUGCAGAUGACCCCUAUUUAUUUUCAGGUCACUAGGUCAAGGUCACGGUGACCCGAAAUAGUAAAAUGGUUUCUGGAUGAUAACUCAAGAACCCUUAUGCCUAGGAUCAUGAAACUUCAUAGGUACAUUGAUCAUGACUCGCAGUUGACCCCUAUUGAUUUUCAGGUCACUAGGUCAAAGGUCGAGGUCACGGUGACUCAACUUAGAAAAAUGGUUUCCGGAUGAUAACUCAAGAAAGCUUACGUCUAGGAUCAUGAAACUUCAUAGGUACAUUGAUCAUGACUCGCAGAUGACCCUAUUGAUUUUCAGGUCACUAGGUCAAAGGUCAAGGUCACAGUGCCAAAAAACGUAUUCACACAAUGGCUGCCACUACAAUUGACAGCCCAUAUGGGGGGCAUGCAUGUUUUACAAACAGCCCUUGUUUGUGUCAGAUUCAGCCCCAAUUCCAAUUUUUAACAUGUAUAUUUUUUCCGAAAUGGAUGCCUACAAUUUCCAAUCUUAGCCCCCCAACUCGUUUUUAACUAUGAUAUUUUUUAGAUCGCAUCAGUCAGUCCAUCUCCCUUUCUAGCUGUAUAAGUUGAACCUUAGCAAAUGUAAUGAUUAUUAAAAACACCAGGUUUGAAGAAAGGUAUAACAAAUCCUGAUUAUUAGAUUGGGGUAAAUUGUGAUCAACUUUUUUGCCGUGUGGUUGUGCAUCGUCAACAUAUGCCUUGUCAAUACUCUAUAGAGGCCACAUUUAUUGUCCGGUUUGCAUGAAACUUGGUCAGAAGAAAACUACCAAUGAUACCUUCAUGGGUGUGAUUUUUGCGCGGAUUGGGUUGUCUGGGGAGGGUCAUCACUGAGAUUCACCUUUUUUUCAGCGGACGUAUUUCUUAAACGGCCCGAAAUAUCCGCAACCUGCGGAACCUUUCGGCAUAGUACACUGGUAGAUUCUAUCUAAGCAUUUUUUAAAUGAGCGAUAUCAUUGACUUUCGUUUCCCAAUCUUCCAAUAAAAGUAGGUCUUAUAAACUUUGUUUGGUUAUUCUUUGCUGAUUAUGUGCAAAUUGCGACAUUUUGAAGUGAAAAUAAAGAUUAUAAGGAACGAAUGUAACAAAAUCUCAGAGAUGGACUAAUUAUUGAAAACCAACUUACAAUGGGAAUAGAAACAACAGUAGAUAUAUAGCAGAAAGCUGUACCAAUUUCUGAAUGGGUACGGAAGAUCGACUGUCCGGUAAGGCAAUAUAUUUCAUGUAAUAAAAUCUUGACUUUGCUUAUUUAAUAUGUUAAAUGUGAAGUUAAAAAGCUUUCAAUAAAAAAAUCUUGUUAUGAAGUUUAAGAAGGUGCUUAUUAUGCCCCUUUCGAAGAAGAGGGGUAUAUUGUUUUGCUGGAUGUCUGCCCGUCGGUCUGUUAAUUGACCGGUUUGUUUCCAAUCAAUAACUUUUCAACAAAUUGACUGAUUGGCUUGAUACUUCACAUGUGCAUUUGCCUACGACUGUAGAUGACUCCUAUUGAAAUUGGGGUUACAAGGUCAAAGUCACUGUCACAAUAAGUAUGAAAAUCGUUUCUGAUCAAUAACUCUUCAACGUAUUGACUGAUUUGCUUGAUACUUCACAUGUACAUUGGUCUUGGAAAGUUGAUAAUCCCUAUUAAAAUUGGCGUAUGACUCGUAUAUGGUAUGUUCAAUCAUCAGAGGUCCUCUAUAAAGUUGGCACUAAUUAUGCCAACUUGAGUCAAUGCCGGCCAAGCCCCAUGGGUCACAUUUUAUAUAUGGAAAUAUAGCAAACAAAUUUUGUUAAUGUGUGCGAAAGCAAAGCCCAGAGCUUUGAUAUUUAGUAUGCAACAUCAGAUAAAGGACCUCUAAUAGUUUGUUCAAAUGAGGUCUUUUGGAUCAAAACUGACUCAGGUGUCACCAAUUUAAUAUAUACAAUAUAACAAUUUUCUUCUCUUAAAUGAGAAGGCCCAUACUUAUAUUAUUAAAUAUUUUGUAUGUUGCAUCAGAUUUUGGUCCUCUACUGUAUUUUUUCGAAUCAUGCCUCUUUAGUCAAAGUUUACCGAACCUGUAUGGUGUUGUAAAUUUUUUACCUUACAAAAUGUAUAGAGACUUUGCAAGAUAUUUUAAUGUCAUAAAUACGUUACCUGCUAUCUAAUAGCUACUACCUCCACAGGUGAGUUAUAUCAUCCGGAAAUUUCUGGAGCCGGGAGCUGCAACCUAUAUUUAUGCAAUUUAGACUAGGUCGGAAUGUAGUGUAAUGUUACCUAGGCUAAAACGAUAUCCCACAAUUCAAUCUUCUUCCGAUAUAUCUAAAAAUAUUAGUUGAAGAGUGGGUGGGAGGUGGGACUCGCCGAUAGCUUUAAGUAUUUAAUAAUUAAAAUGAAUUUUACUUAAAAAAAUUGUUUUAAUGUCAUAAAUACGGAAGAUUGUAUUGUGGGAUAUCGUUUUAGCCUAGGUUACAUUACACUAUGUUCCGACCUAGUCUAAUUUGCGUAUAUAGGUGGCGGCUCUUGGCUCCAGAAAUUUCCGGAUGAUAUAACUCACUUACGGAGGUAGUAGGUAUUAGAUAGCAGGUAAGUACUUAAUAAUUAAAAUGAAUUUUACUUAUAAAAUUUGUUAACAUUAUGCCCCUUCAUUUAAAAGUAGUCUCAAGCCAGGGGUCUCAAGUAUUAUGCCUGAGCAAUAGUUUCUCAGGUGAGCGUUCAAGGAUCCUCAAGGUCAUGUAGUGAUUAUAAUUGUGUAAUAAAUGGCAGGUGAGCAGUGCACUCUCAUGCCCUCUUGGCUGAUAGUGUUGUCUUCUGUUUAACACAUUUACUGUUUAUACCCCCUUUACCAUUUGUAAUGGGGGCUAUAUAGGAGUCACUUUGUCUGUCUGUUUGUCUGUCCCGAAAGCUUGUCCGGGCAAUAACUAUGUUGUUCAUUGUGAGAUUUAAAAAUCAUUUAGCACAUUUGUUCACCAUCAAUGGACGGUGUGUCGCGCGGAAGAAUUACGUCGAUAUCUCACAGGUCAAGGUCACACUUUGAGUUCAAAGGUCAAAAAUGGCCAAAAAUGAGCUUGUCCUGGCCAUAACUUUGUCAAUUAUUAUGAGAUUUUAAAAUCAUUUGGCACGUUUGUUCACCAUAAUUGGACGGUGUGUCGUGCGAAAGAAUUUCCUCGAUAUCUCCAAGGUCAAGGUCACACUUUGAGUUCAAAGGUCAAAAAUGGCCAUACAUGAGCUUGUCCGGGCAAUAACUACCGGUAUGUAGUUCAUUGUGAGAUUUUAAAAUCAUCUGGCACAUUUGUUCACCAUCACUGGACAGUGUGUCGCGCGAAAGAAUUACAUCAAUAUCUCCAAGGUCAAGGUCACACUUUGAAUUCAAAGGUCUAAAAUGGCAAUAAAUGAGUUUGUCUGGGCCAUAACUAUGUCGUUCAUUGUGAGAUUUUAAAAUCAUUUGGCACAUUUGUUCACCAUCACUGGAUAGUGUGUCACGAGAAAGAAUUACGUCGAUAUCUCCAUGGUUAAGGUCACACUUUGACUUCAAAGGUCAAAAAUUGCGAUAAAUGAGCUUUUCUGGGCCAUAACUAUGUCGUUAAUUGUGAGAUUUUCAAAUCAUUUGGCAUAUUUGAUCAUCAUCAUUGGACGGUGUGUCGCGCGAAAUAAUUACGUUGAUAUUUCCAAGGUCAAGGUCACACUGAGUUGAAAGGUCAAAAAUGGCCAUAAAUGAGCUUGUCUGGGCCAUAAAUACGUCGUUCAUUGUGAGAUUUUAAAAUCAUUAUUUUGUUCAUUAUCAUUGGACGGUGUGUCACACGAAAGAAUUAUGUCGUUAUCUCCAAGCUCAAGUUCACACUUUGAGUUCAAAGGUCAAAAAUGAAUAUAAACAAGCUUGUCCGGGCCAUAACUAUGUCGUUCAUUAUGAGAUUUUAAAAUCAUUUGACAAUUUUGUUAACCAUCAUUGGACCGUGUGUCAUGCAAAAGAAUUACGUCAAUAUCUCCAAGGUCAAGGUCACACUUUGAGUUCAAAAGUAAAAGAUGGCCAUAUAUGAGCUUUUCCGGGCCAUCUUGUGAAGACAGCAUGCAUAAUAGUCAGUGUCAAUGCGGCACGUGGGGGUAUACGUCACGUCGGUGACAAAGCUCUAGUUUCUUAGUGCUUUCACUUCACCACAUAAGACCUCUCCAGCCCACAAAUAGUGCACUAUAUAAACAAGUAUUCAUGUUAUCAUGCUGAUUGCAACUUUUACUACAUGCUCUUUUUGUUAUAUAGUUCAUUUGUUAAAUAUGCAAAAUAUAAUUUUAUGAAUGUGAUGUUUUAAUGCCCCUUUAAAAAGUGGUGAUAUGCUGCUUUGCACCUGGCCAUUGGUCCAUAGACUGUUUUGUUUUCGCAUUAUACCUGGAGAACACUUUUACCUACAAUAGUGCAAAUUCCUAUGGUUUCUUUGGUUGAAAGUACCCUUUGGAUUUUUAGUUUACAGGUAAAUGGUCCAGUUUUUUUCCCCAGCUAAAGGCGAGGGGUAUAGAAUUGGGAUUGUCUGUCUGUCCGUCUGUCACAAAACUUGUGUAGGGCUAUAUCUGAGAAACUAUAUAAGAUAUCAACAUUAAUCUUAAUAGGUGUAUAUAUAUCAAAUGAGGAGAUGUGCUAUGCACUAGAACCAGAACCAUACACUUGCUUUAAUGAGAGUUAUUGCCCUUUGUUUUUGUUCUUUUUCUAUGAUGAAUUUUUUAUCUGGGCUAUAUCUCAGAUACCAUGCAAGAUUUCAACAUGAAACUUAAUGGGUGUAUUGAUAUUAAUCAGGAGAAGUGCCAUGCUUAAGAACCAUAAUCAUUCACUUUUUUGUUCCCUACCGGUUUCACCGUAGGGACUUAUGGUUUGCUCUCUGUCUCUGUCAGUCAGUCACACUUUUCUGGAUCCUGCGAUAACUUUAAAAGUUCUUAAUAUUUUUUAAUGAAACUUGAAACAUGGAUAAAUGGCAAUAUGGACAUUAUGCACAUCAUUUCAUUUUGUUCCUACGUCAAAAAUUCUGGUUGCUAUGGCAACAAAUAGACUAAAAAUACUGCUGAAAAAGUUCUUAAUAGUUUUUCAUGAAACUUGAAACAUGGAUAGAUGGCAAUAUGGACAUUACGCACGUCAUUUCAUUUUGUUCCUAUGUCAAAAAUUCUGGUUGCUAUGGCAACAAAUAAAAAAAAUCUGACAAUGGUGGAGCCGGUAGGGGACUAUAUUGCUUGGCAAUAGUCUUGUUUAAUAAUAGUUAUUGCCCUUUGUUGUUUUUGUAUGAAGGAACUUUACAGGGCUUUAUCUCCGAUAUGAUAAAACAUUUCAACAUGAAACUUCAUGGAUGUGUAGAAAUCAAUAGGAAGAAGUGCCAUUCAUAAGAACCAUAACCCUACACUUUCUUAACUAAAAGCAAUUGCCCUUUGUUUUGUUAUUUUUGUAUGAUGUAACUGGUCAAGGCUUUAUCUCAGAUACGCUACAAGAUUUAAACAUGAAACUUCAUGGGUGUACAGAUAUCAAUGAGGAGUAUUGCAAUUCAUAUGAACAAUUACCCUACUAAUUAUUACCUUAUUAAUUAUAAACCUACACUUAAUAAUUAUAUUGUAUAUCAAGGGAUUUGCACCGAUCCAUAAACAAAGUUUAUUUCUAGGGGGAUAUCAAUUCAACAAAUUGACUUGUUCAUGUAUUUGGAGGACAACAUAAUUUGGAUUUUAACAUGAAAUUAGUUUCUGCACAAUAUUAAGAGCAUGUUUUAAUCUACAACAGUGAUCUAAAUAAGCACAUGUCUGCAAACCCUGCACUGGUGAGAUUAUGAACCUUACUUGUUUUUAACAGACUGGCUUAUGACAAAUUAUUAAGUAAUAAUGUAAGACUUUGAGCAUGCUUGGUAAAACUGCUGAUUUCAAUGAAUGAAAUGCUAUUGCAAAUUGGUUUGAUGGUGGGUUUUUUUAUGCCCCCGGUAGGGUGGCAUAUAGCAUUUGAACUGUCUGUCUGUCCGUCUGUCCGAAAACGUUAACAUUGCCCAAAACUUUUGCAAUAUUGAAGAUGCACAUGCAUGCCAAAUAUCAAGCUGCUUUAGCUUGAUAUUUGGCAUGCAUGUGUAUCUCAUGGAGCUGCACAUUUUGAGUGAUGAAAGGUCAAGGUCAUCCUUCAAGGUCAAAUAUAUGGCUUCAAAGCAGCGCAGUAGGGGCCAUUGUGUUUCACAAACACAGCUCUUGUUUAUUUUUAUUGUUUGAAUAAUAUUUUGUACUUUAAGAAUGAGUUAACAGUUGAAAUUGUUCACAGUUUAUUAAAUGGAUGUUUUGCUCCACUGUGCACACCAUACUGUGUUGAGCUUUGUAAUUGUCUUUAAUAGUCAUUUGUCAUCAGCUUGUACCCAGUAAAAACUUCAUCAGCCACAUUGAUGGGUCAAUAAUCAUCAAACGUGCUUGCACUGUUUAUUUCAACUAUAUUUUGGAGGAAAUAGUUCAUAUCGAAUAGUACGAAAAUGAACCUGUGGCUGCAUAAGACAAAGGUCGCUUAAAUCAAGUGGUCGCAUCCACAAGAUUGACUGUACAUUAGUUGACAGAGGGGCAUGCAUAUUUUACCAACAUCUCUUUUCCACAUAAAUUUCCAUAUUUAAGUACAUUUAUCUCUGUUUAACCACUUGCAGUUAGAGAAAAAGUACUAACCCUGUUGUAAUUUAUUAUCCAAUGCAAAAUUAUUAUUUUUGUGAAUACAUUUAAAUGAAACCAAUAAACAAAACUGGUAAACUUU